rnacentral:rRNA from 1 species
AUUGAACGCUGGCGGCAUGCCUUACACAUGCAAGUCGAACGGCAGCACGGGGCAACCUGGUGGCGAGUGGCGAACGGGUGAGUAAUGCAUCGGAACGUACCUUUCAGUGGGGGAUAACGUAGCGAAAGUUACGCUAAUACCGCAUAUUCUGUGAGCAGGAAAGCAGGGGAUCGCAAGACCUUGCGCUGAUUGAGCGGCCGAUGUCAGAUUAGCUAGUUGGUGAGGUAAAGGCUCACCAAGGCGACGAUCUGUAGCGGGUCUGAGAGGAUGAUCCGCCACACUGGGACUGAGACACGGCCCAGACUCCUACGGGAGGCAGCAGUGGGGAAUGUUGGACAAUGGGGGCAACCCUGAUCCAGCCAUGCCGCGUGAGUGAAGAAGGCCUUCGGGUUGUAAAGCUCUUUCGGCCGGGAAGAAAUCGCAUGGGCUAAUACCCUGUGUGGAUGACGGUACCGGAAUAAGAAGCACCGGCUAACUACGUGCCAGCAGCCGCGGUAAGAC